AAUUCAUCUCCGGGGGUAGAGCACUGUUUCGGCUAGGGGGCCAUCCCGGCUUACCAACCCGAUGCAAACUGCGAAUACCGGAGAAUGUUAUCACGGGAGACACACGGCGGGUGCUAACGUCCGUCGUGAAGAGGGAAACAACCCAGACCGCCAGCUAAGGUCCCAAAGUCAUGGUUAAGUGGGAAACGAUGUGGGAAGGCCCAGACAGCCAGGAUGUUGGCUUAGAAGCAGCCAUCAUUUAAAGAAAGCGUAAUAGCUCACUGGUCGAGUCGGCCUGCGCGGAAGAUGUAACGGGGCUAAACCAUGCACCGAAGCUGCGGCAGCGACGCUGAUGCGUUGUUGGGUAGGGGAGCGUUCUGUAAGCCUGCGAAGGUGGCCUGUGAGGGUUGCUGGAGGUAUCAGAAGUGCGAAUGCUGACAUAAGUAACGAUAAAGCGGGUGAAAAGCCCGCUCGCCGGAAGACCAAGGGUUCCUGUCCAACGUUAAUCGGGGCAGGGUGAGUCGACCCCUAAGGCGAGGCCGAAAGGCGUAGUCGAUGGGAAACGGGUUAAUAUUCCCGUACUUGGUGUUACUGCGAAGGGGGGACGGAGAAGGCUAUGUUGGCCGGGCGACGGUU
rnacentral:rRNA from 1 species